UGACCCCAUCUCAGGUGAGAAAACCCACUGAGUUUAAGGAUAUAAUUAAGCGGAGGAAAAGAAACUUACAAGGAUUCCCCUAGUAACAGUGAGCAAACUGAGAAGAGCCCAGCAUGAAAAUCGGGUGGCAGCGUCACCUAAAUUGUAGUCUGUAGAAGCAUCCUUAGAGAUGGACCGGGCCCAAGUCCCCUGGAAGGGGGCGCUUGAGAGGGUGACAGCCCCAUUGGGCCGGGACCCUGCCGCACCACGAGGCAUUAUCAACGAGUUAGGUUGUUUGGGAAUUCAUCCCUAAUCGGGUGGUAAAUUCCAUCCAAGGCUAAAUAUGGGUGAGAGACCGAUAGAGAAAAAGUACAAUGAGGGAAACAUGAAAAGGACUUUGAAACAAGAGUUAAAGAGUUCUUGAAAUUGCUAGGAGGGAAGCAGAUGGAGGCUGGUGAUGUGUCUCGGUCAGAUGCGGAAUGGCUCAAGCUAGUCCACCACUCAAAUCGAGGUGCAAACCAGCACAGGUCGUUGCAUCGGCACAAGCGUGGGUGGAGUACUGCCUAUUGGUUUAUCAUUGUGGUAGUUGAGGAACAAAGUGUGCACCCUUGGGGCAGGCCACUGUGCACCUGCACGCUCGUGGUGUUGGUUGGCGGGAUUUCCAUUUGACCUGUCUUGAAACACGAACCAAGGAGUCUAAAAUGUGUGUGAGACGGUGGGUUUUUAAACCUGUGAGGCAUAAGGAAGCUAACGGGCAAGAACCCCUCUCCAUGGGGUGCAUUUUCGACCAACCUUGAGCUUGUACGAAGGGUUCAAGUGCAAGCACACCUAUUGGGACCUAAAAUAAGGUGAACUAUGCCUGAGCAGGGUGAAGCCAGAGGAAACUCUGGUGGAGGCCCAUAGCAAUAUUGACAUGCAAAUCGUUUUUCUAACUUGGGUAUAGGGGCAAAAGACUAAUCGAGCCAUCUAGUAGCUGGUGUCCUCCGAAGUUUCCCUCGGGAUAGCUAGAGCUCACGUGCAAAUUUUAUCGGGUAAAUCAAAUGAUUAGAGGCAUCGGGGGCUUAACGUCCUUGACCUAUUCUCAAACUUUACGUAGGUAAUAUGGUGUGACUGCUCCAUUGAGCCGUGCCACAGAAUCGAGAGCUCCAAGUGGGCCAUUUUUGCUAAGCAGAACUGGAAAUGCGGGAUGAACCGAAAGUCGAGUUAUGGUGCCAAACUGCACGCUAACCCAGAUCCCACAAAGGGUUUUGGUUGAUUAAGACAGUAGGAUAGUGGUCAUGGAAGUUGAAAUCCACUAAGGAGUGUGUAACAACUCACCUGUUGAAUCAACUAGCCCCAAAAAUGGAUGGCACUGAAGAACAUGACCUAUACUCCAUCGUUGGAGCAAUUUCCAAGCUUCGAUGAGUAGGAGGACACGAGGGUCAUUGAGAAACCUUAGGCGUGAGCCUGGGUGGACCUAUCGCUAGUGCAUAUCUUGGUGGUAGUAGCAAAUAUUCAAAUGAGAACUUUGAAGACUGAAGUGGGGAAAGGUUUCAUGUGAACAACACUUGGAAAUGGGUUAGUUGAUCCUAAGAGAUGGGGAAGCCCUGUAUCAAGGGUGCACUCUACAGGAACAUCGAAAGGGAAUCAGGUUAAUAUUCCUGAACUGGGACAUGGCGGCAGACGACAAUGUUAGGAAAUCCAGAGACAUCGUUGGGGGCCCCGGGAAGAGUUAUAUUUUAUUUUUAACAGCUUGCCCACCCUGAAAUUGGCUCAACCAGAGAUAGGGUCCAGCAGCUGGAAGAGCAUCGCAUGUCUCGUAGUGUCCAGUGCACCCUUGGCAGCCCUUGAAAAUAUGGAGGACCUAGUACCAUCCAUGCUUGGUCGUACUCAUAACCACGUCAGGUCUCCAAGGUGAAUAAACUCUGGUCAAUAGAACAUUGUAGGUAAGGGAAUUCGGCAAAACGGAUCCGUAACUUUGAGAAAAGGAUUGGCUCUAAGGGCUGGGCCUAGGGGUAUGCAUUCUCAACCUGUAGGCUAUUGGCAGUUUACUCGAGUUGCUAUCACGAUGAGGGUGGGCAGUCGCGUGUCGAUUGGGCUACGGACAUAGAAUGUCCCCUCGCGGGGGCUUUUCCCUAGGCGGGGAACAGUCGACUCAAAACUGGUAUGGAAAAGGGAUAUCCGACUGUUUAAUUAAAACAAAGCAUUGCGAUGGUCCCUACGGAUGUUGAUGCAAUGUGAUAUCUACCCAGUUCUUUGAAUGUCAAAGUGAAGAAAUUCAACCAAGCGUGGGUAAAUGACAGGAGUAACUAUGACUCUCUUAAGGUAGCCAAAUGCCUCGUCAUCUAAUUAGUGACGCACAUGAAUGGAUUAACGAGAUUCCCACUAUCCCUAUCUACUAUCUAGCAAAACCACAGCCAAGGGAAUAGGCUUGGUGGAAUUAGAUGGGAAAGAAGACCCUGUUGAGCUUGACUCUAGUCCGACUUUGUGAAAUGACUUAAGAGGUGUAGAAUAAGUGGGAUCCAUUUUUGGUGCAAGUGAAAUACCAUUACUUUUAAUGUUAUUUUACUUAUUCCAUGGGGUGGAUAUGGGGCAUUGCCCCUAUUUUUUUCCUUAAGACACGUUUUGACGGGUCGAUCCAUGCGGAAGACAUUGUCAGGUGGGGAGUUUGGCUGGGGCGGCACAUCUGUUAAAAGAUAAUGUAGGUGUCCUAAGAUGAGCUCAACGAGAACAUAAAUCUCAUGUGGAACAAAAGGGUAAAAUCUCAUUUGAUUUUGAUUUUCAGUACGAAUACAAACAGUGAAAGUGUGGCCUAUGAAUACAAACAGGGAUAACUGGCUUAUGGUAGCCAAGUGUUCAUAGCGACGUUGCUUUUUGAUCCUUCGAUGUUGGCUCUUCCUGUCAUUGUGAAGCAGAAUUCACCAAGUGUUGGAUUGUUCACCCACCAAUAGGGAACGUGAGCUGGGUUUAGACUAUCAUGAGACAAGUUAUUUUUGCCCUACUGAUGAACCGUGCCGCAAUAGUAAUUCAACUUAGUACGAGAGGAACCGUUGAUUCACAUAAUUGGUCAUCGUGCUUGGUUGAAAAGCUAAUGGUGCGAAGCUACCAUGUGUCAGAUUAUGAAUGAACACCUCUAAGUCAGAAUCCACGCUAGAAGCGGAUCUUUUCACUCCUCAACUAUAUCUUGACCCAUAAUAGGGGUGUCACUUCGACACCCCCAGGGGACCGUGUCACUUGCGAACCUUGGGCGGGAAGUGUCUCUGUCGGGGUAGCUUUGAAAUUCAAUUUCAAACAGUCGUUGAGAAGAAUCCUUUGAAGUGUUUUUGAGUCUU
rfam:Picea glauca, whole genome shotgun sequence.